rnacentral:rRNA from 1 species
GAUGAACGCUAGCGGCGGGCUUAAUACAUGCAAGUCGAGGGGUGGUAGCAAUACUACACCGGCGCACGGGUGCGUAACGCGUAUGCAAUCUACCUUUAUCUGGGGGAUAGCCCGGGGAAACCCGGAUUAAUACCGCAUAACAAAUUUCUUGGCAUCAAGAGAUUUUAAAAGAUUUAUCGGAUAGAGAUGAGCAUGCGUAAGAUUAGAUAGUUGGCGAGGUAACGGCUCACCAAGUCUACGAUCUUUAGGGGCUCUGAGAGGAGAAUCCCCCACACUGGCACUGAGAUACGGGCCAGACUCCUACGGGAGGCAGCAGUAGGGAAUAUUGGGCAAUGGGCGCAAGCCUGACCCAGCCACGCCGCGUGCAGGAAGAAGGCCCUCUGGGUUGUAAACUGCUUUUGACUGGGAAGAAAAGACUCCUUGCGAGGAGAGUUGACGGUACCAGCAGAAUAAGCCCCGGCUAACUUCGUGCCAGCCGCCGCGGUAACAC